UAGUUUUGUUAGUACUUGAUUUGCGAAAAAUAUUUUUGCCAAGCCACUUUAAUGCCGACUAACCGCCAAAAACGGUUAAUGUUGAAAUUUCGCCUUCGCACUUCCACUAGCUGAGUAACGGGUAUCAGCGUUCUCUCUUGUUUUUUAUAAUAUUUUUUGUGCGACAAGGUCGAAAAUGAGGCGAAAAGCACCACUAUCUACUUUUUUUAAAUAUUCAAUACCUGUCGGAGGCUUGUUUUGCUUAUUAACAUGGUUAAAAAUCUUGACAGUUGUAUUCCUGUUUCCAACAUUAUUUUUUAAAAAAGGAACCUUAAAAGAAUUAUUAAAAUGAGACGUGAAAACAUUGCACUUUAGAUAAACGUGAGAUGAUCAAAGAAACGAAAUUCUGAAGGAAAAUCAUACAGAAAUAUUGGUCGAAUCUUUCAAUGCUCGAACAAAAUGAUACGUAAUGCAACCACCUGAAACGAGAAGCUCGAAACACGAGGAAGAAAACAAUCACUGGGCACCCAUCACUUCAAAAGGCUAGCGCAAAAACAAGAAGGAUCCAGUUAAAGCUGCUACCGAACUGAAAAAGGAUCUCAGAAUUAACACAACAGUGCAAACUUUUCACACGUGUCUCUGGGAAAAUUCUUUAAAAUGCUGUAAUCUAAGGAAAGUCCUUUUUUAACCCUGCACCGCAUACAGAGCCAUAUAUGGUUUCUCACUUUCAAAAAUUUUUUUUGGUGAUAAAACGGUACAUACGCUCAUUCAUUGUUAACAGGUUUUCUUCUUUGCAUUAUUUUCAGUUGGAAUUCCAUGUGCAGAACUUUUUCAUGUUGCCUUCCCUCGCGUUUUAAUCGCGUUUAACCUCAAGCAGACGAACGAAAUUGAAUAUUGCUGUAUUUGAAAAUUAAUUUACUCUAUUAAAAAACACCGUUAGCGCUUGAAACUAUUUUUUUUCGAAAAGAAUAUAAUGUUUUCUUGAUAUAUAAUUUGACUAUUCGGUAAGCAUUUUAGGUAAUAUUUUUUGCAAGAAACUGCUGACGCCAUAUAUGGCUGUAUAUGCAGCCAAGUAGUCAACAUUAUUUCUACUUAUGUAUGUGGGAAGCAAUCCUGUUUCAACAAAAAAGCGAUACAGUAAGAAAGACAAAAAGUAUAUAGAAAUCGAGUCUCCUAAGGCAGUUGAUGUUUACUAUCACCAUAUGGGUGGCGUUGAUUUACUUGAUUCUUUACUGGGACUUUAUAGAAUUCAAUUGCGUUCAAGAAAAUGGUAUAAAAAAAUUUUUUUCCACAUGAUUGCAUGUGCGUGGUUAAUUCGUGGAUUUUAUACCGUCGCAGGAAAAGUAAAGAAGCGCGGGCGUCCUGGGAUGACUCCAACUGCAUCGCCGACUACAAGCAGGGAAGGUACUCCUUCUACCAGAAAGCAAAUGAGGCACCAGGAUUUUCCCUUUAAUUCGGUUCGAGAGGACACAAUUGGACAUUUGCCCACUUGAAAAAAAAAAUAGGAAACUCUGCCAAAACGAUUGUUCCUUCCGAUCAUUCACCUUUUGCGAGAAAUGCAAUGUAUUUUUAUGUUAUAAUGAGAAAAGAAACUGUUUUGCCGGCUUUCACAUGAUUGCAUAGAAAGCCAUAUAUGGCAAACUUUGAAAUAUGUUCAUUUUUUUUUCCCCCAAACUAAGGCCCCAAAAUAAAAAAUUUUCCAGAUAUAUGUUAUUUUCAUCAUCAUAAAUAAAACAAUAUUUACAUAAAUCAAUAUUUCUAUGCUCAUGCAGUAGAGGGUUAAAUGGGACCCACAUACCCAAGCGCAUUAAGUUCGCUAAGGAACAUUUAAAUUGUAAGUUUACAGUCAAAUGACAGCAAGGUAGUUAUUUUUGGUGCCAAUGGAUCUCUAUCGUAUGUAAAGCGAACUAAGAACACCAAAUAUAAGCAGUAGAAACACAGUAUAAUGGAAUGGGCUUCUAUCUCUUACUAUGGAGUUGGGGCAAUACAUUGGAUAAAAACCAUCAUGGAUCAACAUGUGCAUGUUGAUAUUUUGGAGACCGUGAUGCUACCCUUUGCCGAAUACGAUAUGACGCUAAAACGGGUCGUCAAACAAGACUAUGACCCCAGGAACACCAGCAGGAAAGCCAACGAUUGGUUCCAAAAUAAAUCAGUUCCUGUUUUGGGGUGGCCUGCGCAAUCCUCAGACUGUAAUCCCAUCGAAAACCACUCGCCGGACAUUAGAAAAGCAGUUGCAGCUUCUAACCCAACUAACAACUAAUUAAGGAGUGCUGUAGCAAAAUAUCCCUAAAACGGUGCCAGGACCUGCUUGAGUCCAUGCCAAAACGUUGCACCUGAUUUUGGUAAUAAGGGAUACACUAGCAUAUAUUAAAUUAGUGGUAUGGGAAGAGUUUUAAUAAGCAAAUAUUUCUUAUUAGUGAAUUUCUUACUAUUAGGUUUAAAACUAAAAAUUUAAGCAUUUUUUUUAUUUUUUGCCUAAUUGUGUCGUUCAUAAUAAAGGUCCCUUGUUUACCCUUUUAAAAAGGUAAUUAGCUCAUUUUAAACCCUAAAUUGUAGGUAGGGGACAUAUUCAAACUUUUAUUGGGCAAGUGGUGCUAUUUGAUUUAUCGCAGCUGUAAGUAUAGUUAUGGAAUUGAUCGAAAUACUGUUCGCUUUAAAAUCAGAGUUCAGUUUGUGGGAAAUCGAUUUGGGCAUUAAGAUGGUUGUGCCACCGAAUGCAUUCGAACAGAAGUUUCAGUACAUUUUAAAGUUUAUGGAAAUAGGGAGGGAUGAUGUGUGGGUUUCCUUAAGAGCAAUGAUGUGUUUAACCCAUUUAAAUUAGUAUUUUAAGUUGGGAGUGCUACCAAUUGUAAGGGCAGUUUUGUUAUCGGAUUUAUUUGUGAUUUCUUGUUGUGUUUUGAAGACUGGGCAUGUUCUUUUUUUGGAGUUGUGGGUGUAUACGGUCUGUUCUUCGUUACAGUUUGUGCAUUUUGUACACUUUUCAGUAGUAUUUGGGUCGAGGUGGUAGUCGUCGCGGAAGUUUUAGCAAGACUUGUUGUUAUUACAAGUUUGGUAUAAUUGCCCAAAUCCAAAGCAGUUAUUACAUCUUGUUACAUACACAAUUAUUGUUUUUCUUGAUAGCCAAACAUUAUAUAUUAAGGGAGUUCGUGAGAAUAAAUGUCAAUAUAACAAGGCCGGUUUCAUUGAGAUUUCCAUUUUCUUUUCAAAAUUUUUUUUAUUUUAGUUACAUGUUUAUGUGGAAGUUCUUAGUAUAACAUUUUCGGUUGUUCCUUGCAGAUCAUUUAAGUGGAUUACCCCUUUUGUUGAGUUAAGAGAGUUGUGGAGACUUAUGGUAACUUAUGGGAGCAACAGAUUUUAGAUGCAUAAGUCUUUUAGCCUGACUUCUACUCCGCAGGUGCAAUCUAUUUGUUUUUUGAUUAGAAAUGGAGAUACAUUUGUAAUGUCGAGAACUGGAUCGGAUCUGGAUAUACUAAUGAAUUUGGUUCAUGGUCGGCCCUCAGUCGGGCGGAUCUGCCAUCUUGGUGUUGCUGUUUAUAUGUCGCGCAGGUUAUUUUUCGGUUGUUUUAAUUUACUAGUGCCGGUUGUAACUGUAGAUAUUAAGAUUUAUUGUUUGUUUUGGCUUGGCAAAACUAUGACACAACUGAACUCAAGAAGAGUACGAUUGUGACAACGAUGGCAAGAAAUGUAAUUAUUAGUUAUAAUUUAAGAUAAACUGCGUGCAUAAGUAAACAAGAAAAAGAAAGUUCCUAAUAAAUGAAUCCUUGGCUUCCUUGUGGGGCGCCGGAUGUGACUCGGAGAAUACAAGAACCAGUAUUUUUGAAAAAUCGGGCCCUUUUGCUUCGGCCAUUCAAAUAACUUAAAAUUCGGUUUAAAUAAUUAUUUAGGAACGUAAGGAAUUUAGUUCCCUUUUCUGGAAUGAAUGAUUAACAUAGUCAAAUGAUAAACUUAUGUAAGUGAAAUUUACAUGUUUUUAAGUUAUUUUUUAAAUAAUUUAUUACAAAGGAAGUACGUUCCGAAGGCUCAGUGGUCGUUGAUCUGCAUUUUAUAACACCGUGCUGACAUGGUGAUGCUGCACAUGGGUAGGGAUAAUUUCUUGCAUCCAAUUUGUUCCUUUCUUUUAAUGUAAAGAAAUCAUAAUCGACUGUUUAAAUAUAUGAGGGAACUCAUAGAAGUGGCUUGCACAAGGCUGCCACACAGAACCUAUGCACCCAUCAAGGAAAUUCGUCGGGAAAUAGAAAAUAGACAAGCUUAACACGCUGAAGAUCCGAAAUAAGAGGGCUUUUGUUUAGAAAGGAACAAAAUAUUAAAUUCGACUUAGAUAUAUCGAGCACGCCGUCCAUCAACUUAUCUUGUGCUAUAGGGGAAGAGGUUUUUGAUUUUGCUUUUAUGUAGAACGCAUAACCAAGUAUAUAAAUCUCAUAUAAAUAAGAUAAGAUAAAAUAUAUUGGGAAUUUAGAAGACGCAGAAUAUAAACGCAACUGAAAUAAAAAAAACUAUCGGAAAGUGAAAGCCCUACGUAUGUGAACUCCCCUUCUGAGGGGACAUUUCGGGCAUGUAUAUUGUGUACAUAUCUGGGAACACUUCGGAGUUGAGGAUCUCCGGCAGUGGUCUAACUAGAUGAGAGAAGCUUAAUUACCACGGGCCCUUUUAACUUCGAGCUCUUUUACCACCGUAGUAUCUGGCGGAAAAUCAUUAGAACAUAUCUUGGAAAAAAACUCGUUAAGGACAGUUGUCCUGAGAUAUGAUGCUUUUAUUUUGUCUUGUAUAUAAGACACAACAUCAGAUGAUGUUUAAUCAGGGGAAAGUAGAGAAACGAAAAUUAGUUUUGGAACCACCGAUGAAUUUUGGACUGCACAUUGUGCUUCUGAAGGGACCCUGGUUGUCAACCCAGUGAAGAUAAAUCAGAAUCUCUAGCAAUCUCAAGCUACAUACCCUCUACCACUGAUUUAGCUGCCUUUGAGUGUUUGCUGCUAUUGACAACUGAUCACUUGGCUGAGGCUGCGGGCUUACGCCCAGAAUCUGUUUUGCGCUUCGGAGAUUUCUCUAAUAGCAUAAGGCUGUUAUACCCGCACGAAAACUCUCUCUAGCUACGCCAUAGCUGAUCAGCAUCAGCCCCUGCAAGUUGUCUUUUAAAAUAUUAUUAUGCUCGUUACUUGUACAGUGAAAGGGUGUAUAAGAUUCGGUGGAAAGUAGGUUAUAGGUAGAAUGUAUAGAGUGUAUACAUAUAUUCUUGAUCAGAAACCUAUGCAAGCUAGAGAUUAGACAUUUAGAUUCCAGAAGAGCAUCGCAAGUUUGUGAACUGAUGUUGCCACGCCCAGUCGAACGGCCAGAAGCUGUUCAAACCUGCUACUCACACACUUUUCAAAGUUUUUGUUGAUGGAGUUUUGAAUUCUAUUCCAGUAUCUAAGGUAGCCAUUAAUAACCUAUCUUAGAGAAUUAUAUCUUCCACGUUCCAAUGUAUGCAGAUUACGUUUUGACUCACAGUUAUGACUGCAGGAAGAAUGGAUAAAUAUAAGUAAAUGGUGAUCAUAAUAUACUUUUUCUAAACCCUCAUAAAUGCAACUUUAUUUCUUUUUAUCUAAGAAAUUUUUUUCUCGGGUCCAAGGCCAAUCCUCUUGAACGUAAGAAUUUUGCAACAGAUCAAGGAAUAAUAUUUACUCACAACCAAAAAUUUUCCAAUCACAUUGGCAUUUUUGUUAUAAAGCAAAAGUAGUAUUUUCACUUCUCAAGCACUAGUCUAAUAAGUUUGAAGAUUCCUGUCAGAGCAACUCCUAAUUUUUGGCCUAUUUUUUGAAAUGUCUGCAAAUCAAAUUUUAGGGAGCAAAAUCCUAUCCGUGUUUUAUGUGCUCUGUAUAAUAAUACUUCUUGUAUUAUAUUGUUAACUUAGCUUGGAUGGGCAAAUACACUAUUUGUAUGAUAUAUCAAUAUUCUAGUUCCAAAGAUCCAGGUACAUACGGACCGACGGACAUGUCCAGUCGGCUAUUGAUCUUGAUCAGCAAUAUAUACUUUUUUUAUGGUCGCUUCCUUCUGCCUGUUACAUACUUAGUAACAUUGACUGGUAUAAAUCUCAAUAAACUCAACAAAAAUUUGUGAAACCAAA